rnacentral:tRNA from 1 species
CGGGCCGUCGUAUAGUGGCAGUACACAAGGCUGGGGGUCUUGUUGUGGGAGUUCGAUUCUCCCCGGCCCGA